UUCAUUUGAAAUACACGAAAAGGAUAUGAAAACUAGUAUUCUUUAAGCAAAAAAGAUGACGACUUUGGGAUAAAAUAUACAUUUACAAAGUAAGAUAUGGAAGUUUAAAAGUCGUAAUCCAAAUUAUAGUUGACUUUCAUUGGACACAAUAUGACAAAUAGUUUUGCAUGCAAUGCCGUGCUGGCCCACACCAACAAUAAAAUAGUCUUUUUAUUGCAAACAUGGGUCAGCAAAAUGGAAACUUCUGGAACUGCAUGAGAAAUACACUUUGCUUCUUUUAUAAAGACUGUGAAGUCCUUUGAGAUCUACUGAUGAAAAACACCAUAUAAGAGGGUAGGUAUUAUUAUAACAAUCUCUACUUGUUUUGUUUUUUGUUUUAUAAAAGGGACAUUAUAUGAUAGGUUAAAAAAGGUUUUGUGAAAAAUAUAAAAAGUUGUAAGUCUUAAACUGCUAAAUAUAUAUUAUUUAAAUUUCAAUGAAGAUUAAAAUAAACAAAGGAUAAACUAUCUUGAGUUAAGUCUAGAAAUAUAUGCUAAUAUCCCACUAUAAAAAGAGUGUGGAAGUUUUAAGUUCUUUUUAUGUUUGCUGAAGAUGCCUCAGGACAUAUAAUUAGCGAACAAAGACACCAGAAUAAUCACUAGUUUCAUGAAAACUUCUAAAAUAUAUCUCAUGUCAGAAUAUUACAUUCUGGGGCCUCUUUAGCAAACAAAGAAAAAAUCCCAGCAGAUUUCACAAACCAUAGCAGCAGUGGGUCAGUGGAUAACACAUGGGACUGGAAGUGGGUUCUGUUCCCAGCUCUGCCAUGGAUUUGGGAACAAAGCACGUAAUAUUUUCUGUACCUUGGUUUUCCUAUGUGUACAAUAAGGAUAAUGACAUUUACUCCUCUCCUUUACAGAUCUCUUUGAGAUCUGUGGCUGGCCAGUGCCAAGUAUUAUUGAUAAUAAGAAUGUUUUCUAAAAAUAGUUAAAACUUGAUUAUGCAAUAUUUCUCAAAUUGCUUAGGGAGUGGGGGAUAUUCAACACACAUUUCUGUGCUUAAUUGUUGUAAUUCCCUUACCAAGAUUCAGUCACGCAUAUUUUUAGUAAAAGUCACGGACAGGUCACGGGCAAUAAAGAAAAAUUCAUGGAAGUCUGUGACCUAAUUUUGACUUUUACUAAAAAUAUGCAUGACAAAAUGGAGAGCUGCAGGCUCUCCAUAUCACCCAGUGGGGCCUGGGUUAGAGGUGCAGAGCCCGCCCACCACCCGUGGCGGCUCCAAGGUCGGGGCACUCUGGCUGCCCGCGGAGGGCUCAGAGCUUAGUGCCGCCCGUGCAGACUCAUUUCUCCAUGCUGCCUGCGGAGGCUCAGUGCUUCGUGCCACCCAUGGAGGCUCCGAACCCCUUGCCACCGCUGGCGGUUCUUUGCUCCCAGGCGCCUGCAACGGCUCCGUGCUCCAGGGUACCUGUGGCAGCUGGAACUUCCAGAGAGUCCCGCUGCCCACAGCAGCCAGGAGUUUGGGGUCUCGCCGUUGCCUCAGAGCUCUGGGCACCCCUGCCUCCGCCCCGUCUGGGAGCUGCCUGUAGGGCAACCCUGCCUCCCUCUGCAGCUGGGAGCUUGGGCCCCCGCAGUUCCCAGCUGCCAGGGGUGGCAGGGGACCCUACAGCUCUCAGGCACUGGGGGCUCAAGUCAUGGAGGUCUCUGGAAGUCCUCUCUGACGAAAUCAACAAAUUCUGUACUAUCAACAAUUUUCUCUUUUAUUAAAAAAAAAAUAGCAACUAAAACUAGGCUAAAUCUUGCCCAGAAUUAAAAUUUGUAACAAUAAGCUUGUAUAAAUCCUAAAAACAAUAUAAAUCUUUUCACAAAAGAUCAUUACAAUUCUAAAUAAAAGUUGUUGGUUGUUUUUUCCUAAAAAGAAAAGAGUACUCACCUUGUGCAGUAACUGCAGUUCUUCAAGAUGUGUGUCCUUAUGGUUGCUCCAUUUCAGUUACUUCAGGUGCACAGGUGCCUCAAGCCAUUGGUCAAAGAUUUUCCUUUAGCAGUGUCCAUUCGACUCACACAUGCCCUCUAUACAACCCCAGGCCCCACACCAAUGAUAUAUAGGACUGCACAGGCAAAUUUCCCUCAGUUCCUUCCAGGGGUGCAAGUAACAAAGGAUUUACCAGUACGCGGGAGUCCUGAGUGUGGGUGAGGCCUCAAACAGAAGAGGCGAGGCCUUACAAGAUUUAAAGGUCCUGGGGCUCCGUCAGUGGCUGAGACUAACAAAUUUAUUUGGGCAUAAGCUUUCGUGGGCUAGGAGUAACUUCUUCUUCAAGUAGUGUCCCUAUGGAUGCUUCACUUCCAGUGACUCCCAAGGGGUAUCCCCACAGGGGAUGGGGAGCUUCGGAAUCAAGUCCAUGACUGAAGACAGUAGAGCAGAACCAAGUGUUGCAUCAGAACUGAUGGCAAGAACCAAGGCAUGAUGUUUAGAAAAAGUAUGCACUAAGGCAGAGCUGCUAGAUGGGCCUGUCUCAAACACUGGAAGGUUUUUGACUAAAGCUGUGGAAGUUGCCUGCAAUCUGGCAGAGUCUGUUAUUAUCCUUUGGUGAGGUAUAGCAUCGUAGCAAGCAAUAAUUUACUUAGAGAUCCACCUUGAAAGUCUCUGUGAACAUUUCAUGUAUUCCUUGAAUCUUUUUGCAAUGGAGACAGUCUAGGUGCUUUUCAGAAUUGCUUGUUCUUAUCCAGAUAAAAGGUCAAUGCUCAUCUCAGAUCCAAUGUAUGAAAGGAAUUAUUAUGCUGAGUGGCUUAGGAAAUAAUACCAGUAGAUUAAUAGACUGUGUAAGAUGGAAAUCCGUCAGCACCUUAGGUAAGAAUUUUGGAUGUGGUCCUAAGGAGACCUUGUCCUUGAAAAAUACCAUAAAUGGGGGAUUUGCCAUCAAGGCCCCAUUCUCCUCAACCCUGUGGGCUGACAUGAUAGUGACUAGAAAGACCACCAUCAUAGAUAAAUGAAACAAGGUGCUGGUCACCAUAGGUUCAAACAGAGGUCUCAAAAGUAUCUAAAUACCAGUUUGAGAUCCCAAAUUGGAGCAUGAUCCUUAACCUGGGGGUCAGGUCAAGGUUCUCCAAACCCUUAAUAAAUCUACAGGACACAGGGUGAGCAGGUAUAGAAAAUCCCUCUAGUGGGGAAUGAAAUGCUGAUAUUUUUAGCCAGAUAGAUCUUAAUGGAGGUAACUGAUAACCCUGAUCUCUUCAAGUCCAGCAGGUAAUUCAAGAUGGCUGAGAGGGGAGAAGAUUGAGGCACAAGGUGGUGACAGCGAUACCAUUGGUUGAACCUUUUCCAUUUCUGAAGGUAAGUUGACUCCCAUCUAUUGUUUAGUAAUGCCUGUUGUACACUUGUCAAGCAGGUGGAUUCUAAGCCUGUGGACAUCUAUAAGUUGUUCUUGGAGAUGAAGGAACUCUAGGCUGGGGUGAAACACACAAUCUGCAUCCUAGGAGAAAAGAUGAAGAUGGUCAGAAGCUUAAAUGUCAGUUGGACACACUGAUGAAGCAGAUAUGGAUACCAUCUUGGCCUCAGACAGGAUUCUUAGGUCAGCAAUUGGAUCACAGCUGUAAAUGAAACAGUGUCGCAACUCUUCAAUAAACCUAUCCUCUUUCCUACCGAUACUUUUUAAUUUUACUUAAAUU